GUGGGGAAUAUUGGACAAUGGGCGAAAGCCUGAUCCAGCAAUGCCGCGUGAGUGAUGAAGGCCUUAGGGUUGUAAAGCUCUUUUACCCGGGAUGAUAAUGACAGUACCGGGAGAAUAAGCUCCGGCUAACUCCGUGCCAGCAGCCGCGGUAAUACGGAGGGAGCUAGCGUUGUUCGGAAUUACUGGGCGUAAAGCGCACGUAGGCGGCUUUGUAAGUUAGAGGUGAAAGCCUGGAGCUUAACUCCAGAACUGCCUUUAAGACUGCAUCGCUUGGAUCCAGGAGAGGAGAGUGGAAUUCCGAGUGUAGAGGUGAAAUUCGUAGAUAUUCGGAAGAACACCAGUGGCGAAGGCGGCUCACUGGACUGGUAUUGACGCUGAGGUGCGAAAGCGUGGGGAGCAAACAGGAUUAGAAACCCGGGUAGUCC
rnacentral:rRNA from 1 species